rnacentral:rRNA from 1 species
CCUACGGGCGGCAGCAGUGAGGAAUAUUUGUCAAUGGACGCAAGUCUGAACCAGCCAUGCCGCGUGCAGGAAGAAGGCUCUAUGAGUUGUAAACUGCUGUUGUACGGGGGUAAAUCCCGAUACGUGUAUCGGGUUGAAAGUAUCGUACGAAUAAGGAUCGGCUAACUCCGUUCCAGCAGCCGCGUUAAGACGGAGGAUUCAAGCGUUGUCCGGAUUUAUUGGGUUUAAAGCGUGAGUAGGCGGUUCGAUAAGUUGGAGGUGAAACCCCGGGGCUCAACUCCGGCACCGCCACUGAUACUGUCGGGCUAGAGUUUAGUUGAGGUAGGCGGAAUGUAUGGUGUAGCGGUGAAAUGCAUAGAGAUCAUACAGAACACCGAUUGCGAAGGCAGCUUACCAAACUACGACUGACGUUGAGGCACGAAGGCGAGGGGAGCAAACAGGAUUAGAGACCCGUGUAGUC